ACCUUUUGGCAUUUUAUUUGAUUUCAAAAUUUCUAAUUUUGUUUCUAUAAUGGCAUCUCCAUGGACACCAAGGCAAAACAUGCAACUCGAACAGGCAUUAUGAUACCCUUGUGAGGGAGAUCAUACAAAUAGAAAGAGGGCUUCUAAUAAUCUAAAGAUACAAUGAAGCUAUGGGCAACUACAACAACAGUUACAAGGUUCAUGAAGGAAUAGCAAAAGGGAUAUAGGAAGAAAAUAAGAGGUGGACUAUAUAUAUGUGCAAUGUGCUUGUGUGCAUUAUUACAAUGUUUUUUUUUUUUUUUUUUUUCUGAUUUAGUUAUGUUUAAAUUUGUAAAAAACGAGUUGACGCCACCUCGCGCGUUGCGGCGAGAUGUUGAUUAUGAAUAUUUUAAGUAUCUUUAUGUAAAUACGAAAAUCCGAUUCAAAUUUGACACUU